UACAGAGGUCUCAACCGUUGUUCGGAUUCAUUGGGCGUAAAGGGUGCGUAGGCGGUCGUGCAAGUCGGAUGUGAAAUCUCAGGGCUCAACCCUGAAACUGCAUUCGAUACUGCGUGGCUAGAGUGCUGGAGAGGAGACUGGAAUUUACGGUGUAGCAGUGAAAUGCGUAGAUAUCGGGAGGAACACCAAUGGCGAAGGCAGCUCGCUGGGACGUGACUGACGCUGAGACGCGAAAGCGUGGGGAGCAAACAGG
rnacentral:rRNA from 1 species